UACAGAGGUGCCAAGCGUUGUUCGGAUUUAUUGGGCGUAAAGGGUGCGUAGGCGGUCAAGCAAGUCGGGUGUGAAAUUCCGGAGCCUAACUCCGGAACUGCAUUCGAAACUGCUUGGCUCGAGGUCUGGAGAGGUAAUUGGAAUUCUCGGUGUAGCAGUGAAAUGCGUAGAUAUCGAGAGGAACACCAGAGGCGAAAGCGAAUUACUGGACAGAACCUGACGCUGAGGCACAAAAGCUAGGGGAGCAAACGGG
rnacentral:rRNA from 1 species